rnacentral:rRNA from 1 species
GGUUAAGCGACUAAGCGUACACGGUGGAUGCCCUGGCAGUCAGAGGCGAUGAAGGACGUGCUAAUCUGCGAAAAGCGUCGGUAAGGUGAUAUGAACCGUUAUAGCCGGCGAUGUCCGAAUGGGGAAACCCAGUGCAAUUCGUUGCACUAUCGUUAACUGAAUACAUAGGUUAACGAGGCGAACCGGGGGAACUGAAACAUCUAAGUACCCCGAGGAAAAGAAAUCAACCGAGAUUCCCCCAGUAGCGGCGAGCGAACGGGGAGCAGCCCAGAGUCUGAAUCAGCUUGUGUGUUAGUGGAACGGUCUGGAAAGUCCGACGGUACAGGGUGAUAGUCCCGUACACCAAAAUGCACAGGUUGUGAACUCGAAGAGUAGGGCGGGACACGUGGUAUCCUGUCUGAAUAUGGGGGGACCAUCCUCCAAGGCUAAAUACUCCUGACUGACCGAUAGUGAACCAGUACCGUGAGGGAAAGGCGAAAAGAACCCCGGCGAGGGGAGUGAAAAAGAACCUGAAACCGUGUACGUACAAGCAGUGGGAGCACCUUCGGGUGUGACUGCGUACCUUUUGUAUAAUGGGUCAGCGACUUAUAUUCUGUAGCAAGGUUAACCGUAUAGGGGAGCCGCAGGGAAACCGAGUCUUAACUGGGCGUUAAGUUGCAGGGUAUAGACCCGAAACCCGGUGAUCUAGCCAUGGGCAGGUUGAAGGUUGGGUAACACUAACUGGAGGACCGAACCGACUAAUGUUGAAAAAUUAGCGGAUGACUUGUGGCUGGGGGUGAAAGGCCAAUCAAACCGGGAGAUAGCUGGUUCUCCCCGAAAGCUAUUUAGGUAGCGCCUCGUGAACUCAUCUUCGGGGGUAGAGCACUGUUUCGGCUAGGGGGUCAUCCCGACUUACCAACCCGAUGCAAACUACGAAUACCGAAGAAUGUUAUCACGGGAGACACACGGCGGGUGCUAACGUCCGUCGUGAAGAGGGAAACAACCCAGACCGCCAGCUAAGGUCCCAAAGUCAUGGUUAAGUGGGAAACGAUGUGGGAAGGCACAGACAGCCAGGAUGUUGGCUUAGAAGCAGCCAUCAUUUAAAGAAAGCGUAAUAGCUCACUGGUCGAGUCGGCCUGCGCGGAAGAUGUAACGGGGCUAAACCAUGCACCGAAGCUGCGGCAGCGACACUAUGUGUUGUUGGGUAGGGGAGCGUUCUGUAAGCCUGCGAAGGUGUGCUGUGAGGCAUGCUGGAGGUAUCAGAAGUGCGAAUGCUGACAUAAGUAACGAUAAAGCGGGUGAAAAGCCCGCUCGCCGGAAGACCAAGGGUUCCUGUCCAACGUUAAUCGGGGCAGGGUGAGUCGACCCCUAAGGCGAGGCCGAAAGGCGUAGUCGAUGGGAAACAGGUUAAUAUUCCUGUACUUGGUGUUACUGCGAAGGGGGGACGGAGAAGGCUAUGUUAGCCGGGCGACGGUUGUCCCGGUUUAAGCAUGUAGGCUGGUUGUCCAGGCAAAUCCGGAUAAUCAAGGCUGAGGUGUGAUGACGAGGCACUACGGUGCUGAAGUAACAAAUGCCCUGCUUCCAGGAAAAGCCUCUAAGCAUCAGGUAACAUUAAAUCGUACCCCAAACCGACACAGGUGGUCAGGUAGAGAAUACCAAGGCGCUUGAGAGAACUCGGGUGAAGGAACUAGGCAAAAUGGUGCCGUAACUUCGGGAGAAGGCACGCUGGUGUGUAGGUGAAGCCCCUGCGGGUGGAGCUGAGACCAGUCGAAGAUACCAGCUGGCUGCAACUGUUUAUUAAAAACACAGCACUGUGCAAACACGAAAGUGGACGUAUACGGUGUGACGCCUGCCCGGUGCCGGAAGGUUAAUUGAUGGGGUUAUCCGUAAGGAGAAGCUCUUGAUCGAAGCCCCGGUAAACGGCGGCCGUAACUAUAACGGUCCUAAGGUAGCGAAAUUCCUUGUCGGGUAAGUUCCGACCUGCACGAAUGGCGUAAUGAUGGCCAGGCUGUCUCCACCCGAGACUCAGUGAAAUUGAACUCGCUGUGAAGAUGCAGUGUACCCGCGGCAAGACGGAAAGACCCCGUGAACCUUUACUAUAGCUUGACACUGAACAUUGAGCCUUGAUGUGUAGGAUAGGUGGGAGGCUUUGAAGCGUGGACGCCAGUCUGCGUGGAGCCAACCUUGAAAUACCACCCUUUAAUGUUUGAUGUUCUAACGUUGGCCCCUUACCGGGGUUGCGGACAGUGUCUGGUGGGUAGUUUGACUGGGGCGGUCUCCUCCCAAAGCGUAACGGAGGAGCACGAAGGUUAGCUAAUCCUGGUCGGACAUCAGGAGGUUAGUGCAAUGGCAUAAGCUAGCUUGACUGCGAGCGUGACGGCGCGAGCAGGUGCGAAAGCAGGUCAUAGUGAUCCGGUGGUUCUGAAUGGAAGGGCCAUCGCUCAACGGAUAAAAGGUACUCCGGGGAUAACAGGCUGAUACCGCCCAAGAGUUCAUAUCGACGGCGGUGUUUGGCACCUCGAUGUCGGCUCAUCACAUCCUGGGGCUGAAGUAGGUCCCAAGGGUAUGGCUGUUCGCCAUUUAAAGUGGUACGCGAGCUGGGUUUAGAACGUCGUGAGACAGUUCGGUCCCUAUCUGCCGUGGGCGCUGGAGAAUUGAGGGGGGCUGCUCCUAGUACGAGAGGACCGGAGUGGACGCAUCACUGGUGUUCGGGUUGUCAUGCCAAUGGCACUGCCCGGUAGCUAAAUGCGGAAGAGAUAAGUGCUGAAAGCAUCUAAGCACGAAACUUGCCCCGAGAUGAGUUCUCCCUGAGACUUUAAGUCUCCUGAAGGAACGUUGAAGACGACGACGUUGAUAGGCCGGGUGUGUAAGCGCAGCGAUGCGUUGAGCUAACCGGUACUAAUGAACCGUGAGGCUUAACCUU